UACAAUUCUAGGCUACAGCCGAUCCUUGUGAAGAAGUUAGCUAUCUGGUAGGCAAGGAAAUCAAUGGUCUAUGGAAAUGCCUGCAGUCAUCUUCGUAGCUGACGGAGAUCAGAGAUGAGCCUGGAAGGCUUGGCUUCACCAUCUAUCAUGAAGCAUCCAAAGCAGGAUCCCAAAUGAGCAGCCUACAUCCCAAAGGCAUCUGUGAUACUCCACAUGUCAGAACACGAACUCUGUCCAGUCCUGUCCCUUCCCACAAUCCACACUCUUUGCCACCCAUGAAACCCAGGGUGCUAGCUCUAAAGGUCCCUUUGACUAGAAGCUGCAUAUUAGUCUGGAAAAAAUCAAAAAGGGUCUGAGAAGUGCGUGGUAUAUCAGCUGCUGAGGAUGGGACCCCAGCCUCAGCCUGGCCCAGACUCUGAGCAUCUAUGUGUGUUUCUUCUUCUUCCCUCAGCUAGCACAGAGCAGAGAAGGUGAUGUGACAGGGACAGACCUUGAAU
rnacentral:lncRNA from 1 species